CCUACGGGAGGCAGCAGUGGGGAAUAUUGCACAAUGGGGGAAACCCUGAUGCAGCGACGCCGCGUGAGUGAAGAAGUAUUUCGGUAUGUAAAGCUCUAUCAGCAGGGAAGAAAAAAGACGGUACAUGACUAAGAAGCCCCGGCUAAUUAGGUGCCAGCAGCCGCGGUAAUCCUUAGGGGGCAAGCGUUAUCCGGAUUUACUGGGUGUAAAGGGAGCGUAGACGGCGCGGCAAGUCGUGAGGGAAAGGCAGGGGCUUAACCCCUGAACUGCUUUGGAACCUGCCAUGCUAGGGUGCUGGAGAGGUAAGUGGAAGUCCUAGUGUAGCGGUGAAAUGCGUAGAUAUUAGGAGGAACACCAGUGGCGAAGGCGGCUUACUGGACAGUAACUGACGUUGAGGCUCGAAAGCGUGGGGAGCAAACAGGAUUAGAUACCCCGGUAGUC
rnacentral:rRNA from 1 species